rnacentral:rRNA from 1 species
GUAGGGAAUAUUGCGCAAUGGACGAAAGUCUGACGCAGCGACGCCGCGUGAGUGAUGAAGGCCUUAGGGUCGUAAAGCUCUGUUGAAUGGGAAGAAAAAAAUGACGGUACCAUUCGAGGAAGGACCGGCUAACUUCGUGCCAGCAGCCGCGGUAAUACGAGGGGUCCUAGCGUUGUUCGGAAUCAUUGGGCGUAAAGGGUGUGUAGGUGGCCAUGUAAGUCAGGUGUGAAAGCCCCGGGCUCAACCCGGGAAGUGCACUUGAUACUGCGUGGCUUGAGUACCGAAGAGGGUAGUGGAAUUCCAGGUGUAGUGGUGAAAUACGUAGAUAUCUGGAGGAACACCGAUGGCGAAGGCGGCUACCUGGUCGAGUACUGACACUGAGACACGAAAGCAUGGGGAUCAAACAGGAUUAGAAACCCCGGUAGUCC